rnacentral:other from 1 species
AAGUCCCUGCGGUGUUCGAUAGCGACAGCGUGUCUUGUGCCGAUAAGCAAAUUGCUCGGAGACUGAUAUGAGAUUGGAGUGCAAGCCCACUAGAUGGGAAGCCCGAAAUUUUAUUGAUGUCACCACUUGAAUCUCCUGGUUCAAGAACCUCGUUCGUAACGGCAUCGCGGGGCAUUU